CUUAAAUAGAUAAAGAAGGUAUUUCCACUGAAUGCAAAGGAAGUAGACUGUGUGUGGGCAUAAGGUGUGAGAGGGGAACUGUAGCUUGUGAGCACGGGUCACUAACCCUUAAUGUGUUGUAGAAUUACUUCAUGUUUCCUUGGUUUGCCUUUGGCCGCUUGGUGCCCAGGACCCGUCUUUCUGACUCAGCUUAUCCCCGGCUCCCAGCACCAAGCAUAGCCCUGUGCCCAGCGCACCCCAGACAUUGGAUGAGUAACCCUUGACUGCAGUGGAGGCUACCCCGGGGCACGGCACACAGCCCAGCACCCUUGUUCCAGUGAGUGGUCUUUCCAAGGGCAGACGCCACAGCAUGGAGGCCACACAUGGUUUCCACACAGCCUUUCCCCUUUUUUCUAGAUAAUACAAGGUGUAGCUCCAGACAGCAAGGCUGGAAGAAGGCAUGUUUGCAUCAUCCCUCCAAUGGGGUCUUGGUCUCCGGGAAUGGCUUGCCCAGGCCUCCGGCCACUGGCUGCCAUUGGCUCCCUAGAAGCGAAGAGAACGCAAGAGAUUCCGUCAAAACAAGGCUCGAAGGUCAGUGGGUCCUUGUGAUUAUAUCUAAACAGCACAUCCUGAAGAUCCGUGCCGGACAGUCUGAUGAGGGGAAACGCCGUGCGGGGCUCCCUUCUCUCUUCAAACUGUGAACAGCUUGCACGCGACAGACCCAAGCUGCUCGGCGGAGGCGGCCCGGUGCCCGGCACCCGCGCGUAUCGAACAUCCCCUCUGCACUUUGUACGGUUUCGCGAGUGUUUUUAAGGAAAAAGAUGUUACUGACUGUUGUUUGUCCUUCUG
rnacentral:lncRNA from 1 species